AAGAACAAAGGAAGAAAAGAAAGAACAAGAACCCUUGGUGGAAAAUUCAAGAGAAAAUUGGUGGAUUUCAAGUAAUCAAGCAAUCAAAGGUAAAAUUUCUUGAGUUUAGCUUGUGAUCUACCUUUCCCAUGCAUUCUUUUUCAUUUUCCAUGGUUGAGAAUCAAGUUUGCAUAAGGAUACCCUUGCUGGUCGGACAUGGGGGGAGGAGUUUUGAUGCUUGAUUUGGUUAGAUUUCAAUGUAUUUUAGUGUUUUUAGUUAGUUAGUGAUGUGUAGCAUGAAAAGCCAACAAGAAAAAUUCAUUUUCUCCCAUCACCAAUCAUUGGCCGAAUUUUCCUUGUAGAGUGUUGAUGGUGGAUUUAAUUUUAUUUCAAGUGAAUUGGUUAGGAAAUGAUGAAUUAUGGUGAGAAAAUCUAGGAAAAAUCAUAGUGUUGAUGCACUCACCAUGGCCGAAAUUCUUAAGAAGAAAUGUGAGGAUAGUUUUGCUAAAUUUUAUGUUAUUUGACUUGUGUUUGGUGAUUUAAAGAAUUGGGAGAAAAAUGGAAUUAAUUGGAGUUGAAUUGGACAUAUUGGCCAAUUAAUCGGGUGAUAGAUCGAAUUAGGCCAAUACCGAUUUAUUUUGGUACACAAUUGAAUUUGUGUAGAACAUCGUGUUUAGACGAUAAUUUGAACGAUUUGCAUUCCAUUUCAUGCAUUAGUAAAGAGCUUGAAAUAGAUUUAUAAUGGUAUGACACAAUAUAUUAAAUUGUGUGUCGUGUAUUGUAUAUAGGUGGUGAGCCCUCUAACAAGGGUAAAGACGUUGUGUCAGAGGACUGAGAAUAGGAAUAUUUCAAACUCCUGAUACAGUGAGUAACCUUAUCAUCAUCUUGAUUAUCUGAAGUGAAUUUUAAUUCAUUUUUGUGAUUUUAUGAAAAAUGAGUUUAAAUGGUUAAUUUUUAGGUUUUAUAAGCAAAACUGUGAUUAAAUGAAAUGAUUUUAUAAAAUUGUCUUGAAAUUGAAUGAUGGUUUUGAAAAUGGAGUAAUUGGAGACUAAUUGCUGUGUUAUAAAUCAUGGUUUGAAUUGAAUGGCUUAUGAUAAUAUUGGCAUGAAUGGUUGAAUUAGUAAAUGUGCUGAAAAUGUAUGAACUAUUAAUUUGCCUUGAGAGGCUGUAAAAUAAAAUAAUUGCCAUGUAAUGCUAUUGAAUUUUAUUGAAUUGGUGGGUUAUAUAUUGGUCACUGCAGUGGACAGGUUUCGUGGACCAGCCUAUUAAAGGGGCACGGUAACCCUAUUAUAUUCUUACCUCAGUAUGAGGGGCGCGGAUGGAUAACUCUUGAGGUUAACACUUUGGAGUUCACUUCACGCUAAACCACCAUGUGAGGGUGAACUCAUCCAACGCCAAGGAACGGCUAUGUUUUCUAAAUAAAAACAUGAUUUAUGUGUACAUAACUUUUUAACAGCCUUGGUGGACUCGGUUGGGAUAACGCUAGGCCAAGGUAUCCCUAAUAUCUAAGUAUGAGAAUGAUUUUGGCACAAGCCAAACUUUUUAGGAAAUCAUAAGCCUCGUUGUUUAUUUUGGUGAAAUGAAUCUAUUUUAUCUUAUUAAAAUGAGUUCAAAAUGUUGAGAAUCAUUUUUAUACUCAACUAUUUUAUCUGUCUCUAUUUACUCAGCUUUAGAUAUUUUAGAUGGUAUUUGUUUACUCAUUGGGAUUUUAUAAUCUCACCACCCCUUUUAGGCUCAGAAUAGGCUGUAGAUAGCUGAUUUCAUCGAUAGCUACUAUUGGAUUUGCAUCCUCAAAAACUGUAGGUUUAACGUUUUUGAUACUUUUGGUCGUUUGUGGGCUCACGUGUCAUUGUAAAUUAAAUCUUAUGCUUUGGUUAUCUGUAUUACAGUAUGUAUGAAUUUAUUUAGCUUUUACGCUACAAAAAUUAUUUACCGGUAACUUUAUAAAUAUUGUUUUAUAAGAAAAUAGAAUACUUAAUUGAAUAUUUUUAUUAUAUUCAAAUAGGUAUAGUUUCACUUUAAAUGAAUGUUUUAGACAUUUAAACUUAUUUUUGAUUAUGAAUUAUGUGUUUUGUACUCUCCUACUAUAUUUUUAGCUAGUUUCGAGAUUUUUAAGGAAAAAUGACCAAAAUGCCCCUGUGAGAAAAAAUUAUUUUUCUGUUGUUUUGAUUUGGAAAUAGUUUAUAAUCUAUCAAAACAUGAUACUUAACAACUAUUGCUCAUAGGGGAGGUGCGAAAACUGAUAUUAAAGCCUUGAGAGAUUCCGGUUGGCAUUCUGGGCAAUGAAUGUCUAUCAAGACGUCACGGCGAUUGUCACGGGCUUAAGGGGAGUAUCGGGUCGUGACAGAGUUAUGGAAACUUUAAAAGAGGCUUCCAUGGAAGAUGAAGAAAUGUGAGAUGGGAGGAAGAAGAACAAGAAGCUGCUAGAAAAAUGAGGAAGUUGCUGGGGAAAUGAGAUAUUUAUAGCCUAAGCUUAUCC
rnacentral:lncRNA from 1 species